CUUAAACAUGCCAGAAGCAGGACUGAAACAGAACAUAAAGUUAAAAAAAAAUGCAACAGAAGAAAUAAUAAUAAAGUAAACAUCUAAUGACCAGCAACAUUUAAAUAUUUCAUUGACAAACAAAUAAGCAAACAUGUAAAUGAUGAAUCCAGAAUAGAAUAAAGAAAUAGCCAAUAACUCUAGUAAUAAAAAGACGGCAAAUAAACAGUAGCCUCUUGCAUAAAUCAAGUUUCAAAAAUGUCUUAAAUUAAUUACAAAUUUACAACAAAUUUGGGAUUUAGGCUUAGCAAUAAUCUAUUAUUUUAUGGUGGGACUUAGGCUUAGCAAUAAUCUAUUAUUUUAUGG
rnacentral:misc_RNA from 1 species